rnacentral:rRNA from 1 species
GACGAACGCUGGCGGCGUGCUUAACACAUGCCAGUCGAACGAAGAGCGAUGGAAGCUUGCUUCUAUCAAUCUUAGUGGCGAACGGGUGAGUAACGCGUAAUCAACCUGCCCUUCAGAGGGGGACAACAGUUGGAAACGACUGCUAAUACCGCAUACGAUCCAAUCUCGGCAUCGGGACUGGAUGAAAGGUGGCCUCUAUUUAUAAGCUAUCACUGAAGGAGGGGAUUGCGUCUGAUUAGCUAGUUGGAGGGGUAACGGCCCACCAAGGCGAUGAUCAGUAGCCGGUCUGAGAGGAUGAACGGCCACAUUGGGACUGAGACACGGCCCAGACUCCUACGGGAGGCAGCAGUGGGGAAUCUUCCGCAAUGGACGAAAGUCUGACGGAGCAACGCCGCGUGAGUGAUGACGGCCGUCGGGUUGUAAAGCUCUGUUAAUCGGGACGAAUGGUUCUUGUGCGAAUAGUGCGAGGAUUUGACGGUACCGGAAUAGAAAGCCACGGCUAACUACGUG